AUACCCGUUUGCAUGUACUUUAUGAAUAAGGAUCGGCUAACUCCGUGCCAGCAGCCGCGGUAAUACGGAGGAUCCGAGCGUUAUCCGGAUUUAUUGGGUUUAAAGGGAGCGUAGAUGGAUGUUUAAGUCAGUUGUGAAAGUUUGCGGCUCAACCGUAAAAUUGCAGUUGAUACUGGAUAUCUUGAGUGCAGUUGAGGCAGGCGGAAUUCGUGGUGUAGCGGUGAAAUGCUUAGAUAUCACGAAGAACUCCGAUUGCGAAGGCAGCCUGCUAAGCUGCAACUGACAUUGAGGCUCGAAAGUGUGGGUAUCAAACAGGAUUAGAUACCCUGGUAGUCCACACGGUAAACGAUGAAUACUCGCUGUUUGCGAUAUACAGCAAGCGGCCAAGCGAAAGCGUUAAGUAUUCCACCUGGGGAGUACGCCGGCAACGGUGAAACUCAAAGGAAUUGACGGGGGCCCGCACAAGCGGAGGAACAUGUGGUUUAAUUCGAUGAUACGCGAGGAACCUUACCCGGGCUUAAAUUGCAGAUGAAUUACGGUGAAAGCCGUAAGCCGCAAGGCAUCUGUGAAGGUGCUGCAUGGUUGUCGUCAGCUCGUGCCGUGAGGUGUCGGCUUAAGUGCCAUAACGAGCGCAACCCUUGUUGUCAGUUACUAACAGGUUCCGCUGAGGACUCUGACAAGACUGCCAUCGUAAGAUGUGAGGAAGGUGGGGAUGACGUCAAAUCAGCACGGCCCUUACGUCCGGGGCUACACACGUGUUACAAUGGGGGGUACAGAGGGCCGCUACCACGCGAGUGGAUGCCAAUCCCCAAAACCUCUCUCAGUUCGGACUGGAGUCUGCAACCCGACUCCACGAAGCUGGAUUCGCUAGUAAUCGCGCAUCAGCCACGGCGCGGUGAAUACGUUCCCGGGCCUUGUACACACCGCCCGUCAAGCCAUGGGAGCCGGGGGUACCUGAAGUGCGUAACCGCGAGGAGCGCCCUAGGGUAAAACUGGUGACUGGGGCUAAGUCGUAACAAGGUAGCCGUACCGGAAGGUGCGGCUG
rnacentral:rRNA from 1 species